AGAGCUGGAUCUGCAGUCUGCAGUAUUAGGGGAAUACACUGGUAUAAUGAGGUUGCUUGAAGAGUGCUACAGAGGUUUACAGAAUGUAGUACAACGAGGUUGAUAACUGCUGGGCAUUGUAUAAGGUGAUGUUGGGGCUGCCCCAUGCCGGCCUCAGCUGGCCCCAGCCGGCUCCAAAGGCCCCACUCCAAGGCAGAGCCGGGCUCCACGGUCAAGAUGGUGGCGCCUCGGAGGCAGCCUGGAGAAGAGAGGACACUGCACAGCAGAGAGCAGUGAGGGGUUGAGGAUAAUCCAUCAUCGUCCAGAACUUCAAAAUGAUGACAUCUGGACUACAUCCUCACAAUGGUGUAGCACUGACACUUCAAACAAACUCUGAAAAUGGUUAAAAAAAGAAGCACUACUUACAACCAUCUCACGAGGAUAAUCAUCUGUGGGCAAACGAAAGACUAAAAGACUCAUUUUUGCUGGAAACAUUUGAAGUUCCUUUAUUUUUUUUUUCUUUCUUCCCUUUUCCUGGCUUUAACUUAUUGAACUUUUUAGUUAAGGCAGCCUGAAGGCACUAAAUUACAGAUGGUGCUCACUCAUUCUAAAAUUGAAACCUUCCUCUUUCAAAAGGUAAUUGUUUCCAGUUGAUACAUGCAACAUGAAUUGGAUGAGUCAAUCAUUUCUUGAAUGAAAAUAGCUCUUAUAUUCUUGCAAAGUCAAACUCUGUCAAAGGAUCUCUCUGUCCUAAGAGACUGCAUGCUAUUUCCUUCUCUUAUGAUCUAACUUUAAUUGUCAACCCCCUCUAUAGUACCUUUGGCAGAAACAAGUAAAAGUAGCAAAUGUACCUUAUUAUUUAUAGUCUAUGAAUGUAAAAAUAAAAUUGGAAAAAAGUAGAUUAUAUAUUUGAAAACAAAA